CGGACCGGCGCACGGGUGAGUAACACGUAUCCAACCUGCCGUCUACUCUUGGACAGCCUUCUGAAAGGAAGAUUAAUACAAGAUGGCAUCAUGAGUCCGCAUGUUCACAUGAUUAAAGGUAUUCCGGUAGACGAUGGGGAUACGUUCCAUUAGAUAGUAGGCGGGGUAACGGCCCACCUAGUCUUCGAUGGAUAGGGGUUCUGAGAGGAAGGUCCCCCACAUUGGAACCGAGACACGGUCCAA
rnacentral:rRNA from 1 species